rnacentral:tRNA from 1 species
GCGUCUGUAGCUCAGUGGUAGAGCAGAGGUAUCAUAAGCCUCAGGCCGAGGGUUCAAUUCCCUCCAGGCGCA